GGCUCUGUAGCUCAGUGGAUAGAGCGUCGGUUUCCUAAACCGUGCGUCGCAGGUUCGAUUCCUGCCAGGGCCAUCA
rnacentral:tRNA from 3 species